CCUUUGACGUUAGCGGCGGACGGGUGAGUAACACGUGGGUAACCUACCUAUAAGACUGGGAUAACUUCGGGAAACCGGAGCUAAUACCGGAUAAUAUUUCGAACCGCAUGGUUCGAUAGUGAAAGAUUGUUUUGCUAUCACUUAUAGAUGGACCCGCGCCGUAUUAGCUAGUUGGUAAGGUAACGGCUUACCAAGGCGACGAUACGUAGCCGACCUGAGAGGGUGAUCGGCCACACUGGAACUGAGACACGGUCCAGACUCCUACGGGAGGCAGCAGAC
rnacentral:rRNA from 1 species